CUGAGACCCCCUACUUAAUUGGGCUUGGUGAGAGCAACAAUCGCGUUUUUUUUAAAUUUAUUUCCACUUGAAUAGUUGGAGUUUCUGGAUCUAUAGCAGUGGUUGGGUACAACUCUCAUAUUAGAAGUAGUCUGCCUCAAUUUUACAUUUGUGUAAAGCAACAUUUGGUGUCAAAGUAUUUAGGACAAAUGAAAGCAUACAUUUGAUUAGUCAGUUUGAAGGAGAUCUGUAGUGGUUAUUGUGCUUUAAGAGUUGAAAGCUCUCUUCUUUGAGCAAAGACAGACCAUAUAGGGCAUGGACCACUGACAGAGCAAUUGAUGUCUCUUCAUGGCAGUAUUUAGGAAGACCCACGCAGAUACUUUUCUUAACUGGCGUCAGUACCUCUAAUAUAUUGUUGUUUAUAU